rnacentral:rRNA from 1 species
GAUGAACGCUGGCGGCGUGCCUAAUACAUGCAAGUCGAGCGAACGGACGAGAAGCUUGCUUCUCUGAUGUUAGCGGCGGACGGGUGAGUAACACGUGGAUAACCUACCUAUAAGACUGGGAUAACUUCGGGAAACCGUAGCUAAUACCGGAUAUUAUUUUGAACCGCAUGGUUCAAAAGUGAAAGACGGUCUUGCUGUCACUUAUAGAUGGAUCCGCGCUGCAUUAGCUAGUUGGUAAGGUAACGGCUUACCAAGGCAACGAUGCAUAGCCGACCUGAGAGGGUGAUCGGCCACACUGGAACUGAGACACGGUCCAGACUCCUACGGGAGGCAGCAGUAGGGAAUCUUCCGCAAUGGGCGAAAGCCUGACGGAGCAACGCCGCGUGAGUGAUGAAGGUCUUCGGAUCGUAAAACUCUGUUAUUAGGGAAGAACAUAUGUGUAAGUAACUGUGCACAUCUUGACGGUACCUAAUCAGAAAGCCACGGCUAACUACGUG